CUUGGUCUCCCUCUUCCUACAG
rnacentral:miRNA from 1 species